rnacentral:rRNA from 1 species
GCAGUCGCCACGGUAAUACGUAGGUUGCAAGCGUUGUCCGGAAUUAUUGGGCGUAAAGGGCUCGCAGGCGGUUUCUUAAGUCUGAUGUGAAAGCCCCCGGCUCAACCGGGGAGGGUCAUUGGAAACUGGGAAACUUGAGUGCAGAAGAGGAGAGUGGAAUUCCACGUGUAGCGGUGAAAUGCGUAGAGAUGUGGAGGAGCACCAGUGGCGAAGGCGACUAUCUGGUCUGUAACUGACGCUGAGGAGCGAAAGCGUGGGGAGCGAACAGGAUUAGAUACCCGUGUAGUCCCUGUCUCUUAUAC